rnacentral:rRNA from 1 species
AGAGUUUGAUCAUGGCUCAGGAUGAACGCUAGCUACAGGCUUAACACAUGCAAGUCGAGGGGCAGCAUUGGAGUAGCAAUACUCAGAUGGCGACCGGCGCACGGGUGAGUAACACGUAUCCAACCUGCCGCUUACUCGGGGAUAGCCUUUCGAAAGAAAGAUUAAUACCCGAUGGUAUAAAGAGUUCGCAUGUUCUCUUUAUUAAAGAAUUUCGGUAAGCGAUGGGGAUGCGUUCCAUUAGAUAGUUGGCGGGGUAACGGCCCACCAAGUCUACGAUGGAUAGGGGUUCUGAGAGGAAGGUCCCCCACAUUGGAACUGAGACACGGUCCAAACUCCUACGGGAGGCAGCAGUGAGGAAUAUUGGUCAAUGGACGAGAGUCUGAACCAGCCAAAGUAGCGUGAAGGAUGACUGCCCUAUGGGUUGUAAACUUCUUUUAUAAGGGAAUAAAGUGAGGGACGUGUCCCUUUUUGUAUGUACCUUAUGAAUAAGGAUCGGCUAACUCCGUGCCAGCCGCAGC